rnacentral:rRNA from 1 species
AUUGAACGCUGCGGCGUGCUUAACACAUGCAAGUCGAGCGGUAACAGGUGUAGCAAAACAUGCUGACGAGCGGCGAACGGGUGAGUAAUGCUUCGGAAUCUUCCUCGUAGUGGGGAAUAACCUGGGGAAACUCAGGCUAAUACCGCAUACGAACUACGGUUGAAAGCAGGGGAUCGCAAGACCUUGCGCUAUGAGAUGAGCCGAAGUCGGAUUAGCUAGUUGGUGAGGUAAAGGCUCACCAAGGCGACGAUCCGUAGCUGGUCUGAGAGGACGACCAGCCACACUGGGACUGAGACACGGCCCAGACUCCUACGGGAGGCAGCAGUGGGGAAGAUUGGACAAUGGGGGCAACCCUGAUCCAGCGACGCCGCGUGUGUGAAGAAGGCCUGCGGGUUGUAAAGCACUUUUAGUGGGGAUGAAAAGCCGAAGGCUAAUACCUUUCGGUCUUGACCUAACCCAAAGAAAAAGCACCGGCUAACUCUGUGCCAGCCGCCGCAGUAA